rnacentral:rRNA from 1 species
AGUGGCGGACGGGUGAGUAACGCGUGAACAAUCUGCCCUGUACACAGGAAUAGCCUCGGGAAACUGGGAUUAAAACCGGAUAACACUUUUUGGCCGCAUGGCCGGGAAGUCAAAUUGAUUUAGAGGUACAGGAUGAGUUCGCGUCUGAUUAGCUAGUUGGUGAGGUAACGGCUCACCAAGGCGACGAUCAGUAGCCGGCCUGAGAGGGUGAACGGCCACACUGGAACUGAGACACGGUCCAGACUCCUACGGGAGGCAGCAGUGGGGAAUAUUGCACAAUGGAGGAAACUCUGAUGCAGCGACGCCGCGUGAGUGAAGAAGGUCUUCGGAUCGUAAAACUCUGUCCUUGGUGACGAAAAAAAUGACGGUAGCCAAGGAGGAAGCCCCGGCUAACUACGUGCCAGCAGCCGCGGUAAUACGUAGGGGGCGAGCGUUGUCCGGAUUUACUGGGCGUAAAGGGUGAGUAGGCGGUAAUAUGUGUCAGAUGUAAAAGGCUAUGGCUUAACCAUAGUUAGCAUUUGAAACUGUAUUACUUGAGUGCAGGAGAGGUAAGUGGAAUUCCUAGUGUAGCGGUGAAAUGCGUAGAUAUUAGGAGGAACACCAGUGGCGAAGGCGACUUACUGGACUGUAACUGACGCUGAGUCACGAAAGCGUGGGUAGCAAACAGGAUUAGAUACCCUGGUAGUCCACGCUGUAAACGAUGAGUGCUAGGUGUUGGGUAGCGAUAUUCAGUGCCGAAGUAAACACAAUAA